GCCCAUGUGGACAAAUAGGUAAAGUCAACUGUUUCAAACGCAGAAGUCUGUGGGUUCGAGUCCCACUUUGGGCA
rnacentral:tRNA from 1 species